rnacentral:rRNA from 1 species
UACAGAGGUCUCAAGCGUUGUCCGGAUUUAUUGGGCGUAAAGAGCUCGUAGGCGGCUUGUUGCGUCGACUGUGAAAACCCGCGGCUUAACUGCGGGCUUGCAGUUGAUACGGGCAGGCUAGAGUUCGGUAGGGGAGACUGGAAUUCCUGGUGUAGCGGUGAAAUGCGCAGAUAUCAGGAGGAACACCGGUGGCGAAGGCGGGUCUCUGGGCCGAUACUGACGCUGAGGAGCGAAAGCGUGGGGAGCGAACAGG